CCUACGGGUGGCUGCAGUCGAGAAUCUUCGGCAAUGGACGCAAGUCUGACCGAGCGACGCCGCGUGCGGGAUGAAGGCCUUCGGGUUGUAAACCGCUGUCAGAGGGGAGGAAAGCUUCGGCUUGACUGAACCUCAGAGGAAGCACGGGCUAAGUUCGUGCCAGCAGCCGCGGUAACACGAACCGUGCGAACGUUAUUCGGAAUCACUGGGCUUAAAGGGUGCGUAGGCGGCUUUGCAAGUGGGAUGUGAAAUCCCUCAGCUCAACUGAGGAACUGCGUUCCAAACUGCAAAGCUAGAGGGAGACAGAGGUAAGCGGAACUGAUGGUGGAGCGGUGAAAUGCGUUGAUAUCAUCAGGAACACCAGUGGCGAAGGCGGCUUACUGGGUCUCUUCUGACGCUGAGGCACGAAAGCUAGGGUAGCGAACGGGAUUAGAUACCCU
rnacentral:rRNA from 1 species